UCGAUGUUCUUCUUAAACUCUCUCGAUGUUCUUGAUGAACUCUCUCGAUGUUCUUAAACUCUCUUGAUGUUCUUGAUGAACUCUCUCGAUGUUCUUCUUAAACUCUCUCGAUGUUCUUGAUGAACUAACUCGAUGUUCUUCUUGAACUCUCUUGUUAUAUGUUCAGACACAGAUUGAUCGGUACGUGGAGUUGAUUCAGUCCAGAGUGGAGGAGACAUUGCAGAAGCUGCAGGACAGGUUACCUGGAGCUGUUAGAAGAACUAAAGCUGAGUGACCACCUGAUGUGCACACACACACACACAUCUGUACACAGGGCUGCAGGUGUGGCUCCUCCCCUCCUCUGAUUGGUCCAUUUGAGCAUGACUCACCUGAAUCACCUGACUCACCUGCUGGAUUCAAUCCUGACUGAUAGAAAACAAAGUGAAGCUGAUGGUUUUUUUCACCUCUGUCUCUUCACAAUAAAGAAAAAGUUUACAUUUCAUCAA